GAAAGCCGUGUGAUGGGAAACUGUCGCGCACGGUUUGGGGCGGGGGAAAACUUGGAGAUGAUAUCAAAGAGUUACCUAUCGUUAAAAGUGUCUACCCCAC
rfam:Blautia sp. YL58, complete genome.